GUAGGUGAACCUGCGGAAGGAUCAUUAAUAAUGCCCUCUGGCUUCGGUCAGCUGGGUUCAAUGAGUGCCUUCUCUUCGGAGUUGGCCAUCCACACACACCGUGAACUGUGGCUUCGGCCAUCACAAACUGUUAGUAAUGAAUGUAAUAUCAUAACAAAAACAAAACUUUUAACAACGGAUCUCUUGGCUCUC
rnacentral:misc_RNA from 1 species